CUCAUCCAUGUCUUGGGGAGCAAAAUGUCCAAUAAUCGUUAAGUGAGGGCAUUGAUGCUGAUGCUGACACCAUUUAAAAUCUAAACAUUUAGUUAAAAGCGUUUUAACCAGAAUAUUGAAGUG
rnacentral:ncRNA from 1 species